AUUGAACGCUGGCGGAAUGCUUUACACAUGCAAGUCGAGCGGCAGCGCGGGGCAACCUGGCGGCGAGCGGCGAACGGGUGAGUAACAUAUCGGAACGUACCCUGUCGUGGGGGAUAACACAGCGAAAGUUGUGCUAAUACCGCAUACGACCUGAGGGUGAAAGCGGGGGAUCGCAAGACCUCGCGCGAUAGGAGCGGCCGAUAUCGGAUUAGCUAGUUGGUGAGGUAAAGGCUCACCAAGGCGACGAUCCGUAGCGGGUCGGAGAGGACGACCCGCCACACUGGAACGGAGACACGGUCCAGACUACUACGGGAGGCAGCAGUGGGGAAUUUUGGACAAUGGGGGCAACCCUGAUCCAGCCAUUCCGCGUGAGUGAAGAAGGCCUUCGGGUUGUAAAGCUCUUUCGGCAGGAACGAAACGGUCGUCUCUAACAUAGAUGGCCAAUGACGGUACCUGAAGAAGAAGCACCGGCUAACUACGUGCCAGCCGCCGCAGUAA
rnacentral:rRNA from 1 species